rnacentral:rRNA from 1 species
UUAAGCGACUAAGCGUACACGGUGGAUGCCCUGGCAGUCAGAGGCGAUGAAGGACGUGCUAAUCUGCGAAAAGCGUCGGUAAGGUGAUAUGAACCGUUACAGCCGGCGAUGUCCGAAUGGGGAAACCCAGUGUGAUUCGUCACACUAUCGUUAACUGAAUACAUAGGUUAACGAGGCGAACCGGGGGAACUGAAACAUCUAAGUACCCCGAGGAAAAGAAAUCAACCGAGAUUCCCCCAGUAGCGGCGAGCGAACGGGGAGCAGCCCAGAGUCUGAAUCAGCUUGUGUGUUAGUGGAACGGUCUGGAAAGUCCGACGGUACAGGGUGAUAGUCCCGUACACCAAAAUGCACAGGCUGUGAACUCGAAGAGUAGGGCGGGACACGUGGUAUCCUGUCUGAAUAUGGGGGGACCAUCCUCCAAGGCUAAAUACUCCUGACUGACCGAUAGUGAACCAGUACCGUGAGGGAAAGGCGAAAAGAACCCCGGCGAGGGGAGUGAAAAAGAACCUGAAACCGUGUACGUACAAGCAGUGGGAGCACCUUCGGGUGUGACUGCGUACCUUUUGUAUAAUGGGUCAGCGACUUAUAUUCUGUAGCAAGGUUAACCGUAUAGGGGAGCCGCAGGGAAACCGAGUCUUAACUGGGCGUUAAGUUGCAGGGUAUAGACCCGAAACCCGGUGAUCUAGCCAUGGGCAGGUUGAAGGUUGGGUAACACUAACUGGAGGACCGAACCGACUAAUGUUGAAAAAUUAGCGGAUGACUUGUGGCUGGGGGUGAAAGGCCAAUCAAACCGGGAGAUAGCUGGUUCUCCCCGAAAGCUAUUUAGGUAGCGCCUCGUGAACUCAUCUUCGGGGGUAGAGCACUGUUUCGGCUAGGGGGUCAUCCCGACUUACCAACCCGAUGCAAACUACGAAUACCGAAGAAUGUUAUCACGGGAGACACACGGCGGGUGCUAACGUCCGUCGUGAAGAGGGAAACAACCCAGACCGCCAGCUAAGGUCCCAAAGUCAUGGUUAAGUGGGAAACGAUGUGGGAAGGCACAGACAGCCAGGAUGUUGGCUUAGAAGCAGCCAUCAUUUAAAGAAAGCGUAAUAGCUCACUGGUCGAGUCGGCCUGCGCGGAAGAUGUAACGGGGCUAAACCAUGCACCGAAGCUGCGGCAGCGACACUAUGUGUUGUUGGGUAGGGGAGCGUUCUGUAAGCCUGCGAAGGUGUGCUGUGAGGCAUGCUGGAGGUAUCAGAAGUGCGAAUGCUGACAUAAGUAACGAUAAAGCGGGUGAAAAGCCCGCUCGCCGGAAGACCAAGGGUUCCUGUCCAACGUUAAUCGGGGCAGGGUGAGUCGACCCCUAAGGCGAGGCCGAAAGGCGUAGUCGAUGGGAAACAGGUUAAUAUUCCUGUACUUGGUGUUACUGCGAAGGGGGGACGGAGAAGGCUAUGUUAGCCGGGCGACGGUUGUCCCGGUUUAAGCAUGUAGGCUGGUUGUCCAGGCAAAUCCGGAUAAUCAAGGCUGAGGUGUGAUGACGAGGCACUACGGUGCUGAAGUAACAAAUGCCCUGCUUCCAGGAAAAGCCUCUAAGCAUCAGGUAACAUUAAAUCGUACCCCAAACCGACACAGGUGGUCAGGUAGAGAAUACCAAGGCGCUUGAGAGAACUCGGGUGAAGGAACUAGGCAAAAUGGUGCCGUAACUUCGGGAGAAGGCACGCUGGUGUGUAGGUGAAGCCCCUGCGGGUGGAGCUGAGACCAGUCGAAGAUACCAGCUGGCUGCAACUGUUUAUUAAAAACACAGCACUGUGCAAACACGAAAGUGGACGUAUACGGUGUGACGCCUGCCCGGUGCCGGAAGGUUAAUUGAUGGGGUUAUCCGUAAGGAGAAGCUCUUGAUCGAAGCCCCGGUAAACGGCGGCCGUAACUAUAACGGUCCUAAGGUAGCGAAAUUCCUUGUCGGGUAAGUUCCGACCUGCACGAAUGGCGUAAUGAUGGCCAGGCUGUCUCCACCCGAGACUCAGUGAAAUUGAACUCGCUGUGAAGAUGCAGUGUACCCGCGGCAAGACGGAAAGACCCCGUGAACCUUUACUAUAGCUUGACACUGAACAUUGAGCCUUGAUGUGUAGGAUAGGUGGGAGGCUUUGAAGCGUGGACGCCAGUCUGCGUGGAGCCAACCUUGAAAUACCACCCUUUAAUGUUUGAUGUUCUAACGUUGGCCCCUUACCGGGGUUGCGGACAGUGUCUGGUGGGUAGUUUGACUGGGGCGGUCUCCUCCCAAAGCGUAACGGAGGAGCACGAAGGUUAGCUAAUCCUGGUCGGACAUCAGGAGGUUAGUGCAAUGGCAUAAGCUAGCUUGACUGCGAGCGUGACGGCGCGAGCAGGUGCGAAAGCAGGUCAUAGUGAUCCGGUGGUUCUGAAUGGAAGGGCCAUCGCUCAACGGAUAAAAGGUACUCCGGGGAUAACAGGCUGAUACCGCCCAAGAGUUCAUAUCGACGGCGGUGUUUGGCACCUCGAUGUCGGCUCAUCACAUCCUGGGGCUGAAGUAGGUCCCAAGGGUAUGGCUGUUCGCCAUUUAAAGUGGUACGCGAGCUGGGUUUAGAACGUCGUGAGACAGUUCGGUCCCUAUCUGCCGUGGGCGCUGGAGAAUUGAGGGGGGCUGCUCCUAGUACGAGAGGACCGGAGUGGACGCAUCACUGGUGUUCGGGUUGUCAUGCCAAUGGCACUGCCCGGUAGCUAAAUGCGGAAGAGAUAAGUGCUGAAAGCAUCUAAGCACGAAACUUGCCCCGAGAUGAGUUCUCCCUGAGACUUUAAGUCUCCUGAAGGAACGUUGAAGACGACGACGUUGAUAGGCCGGGUGUGUAAGCGCAGCGAUGCGUUGAGCUAACCGGUACUAAUGAACCGUGAGGCUUAACCUU